rnacentral:rRNA from 1 species
GAGCGGUAGAGAGAAGCUUGCUUCUCUUGAGAGCGGCGGACGGGUGAGUAAUGCCUAGGAAUCUGCCUGAGUAGUGGGGGAUAACGUUCGGAAACGGACGCUAAUACCGCAUACGUCCUACGGGAGAAAGCAGGGGACCUUCGGGCCUUGCGCUAUCAGAUGAGCCUAGGUCGGAUUAGCUAGUUGGUGGGGUAAUGGCUCACCAAGGCGACGAUCCGUAACUGGUCUGAGAGGAUGAUCAGUCACACUGGAACUGAGACACGGUCCAGACUCCUACGGGAGGCAGCAGUGGGGAAUAUUGGACAAUGGGCGAAAGCCUGAUCCAGCCAUGCCGCGUGUGUGAAGAAGGUCUUCGGAUUGUAAAGCACUUUAAGUUGGGAGGAAGGGUUGUACAUUAAUACUCUGCAAUUUUGACGUUACCGACAGAAUAAGCACCGGCUAACUCUGUG